rnacentral:lncRNA from 1 species
CAUUUAUAUCUGGAGCUGACUAUUACAAAUGGAUAUUAAAAAUAGGUCAGCAUUUCCCAGUGUGCAUCCCAAGAAACAAAAUUCCCACUACCUAGUAAUGAAUGUGGGGAAAGAGUACAUGGCUGAAAUCAAAAAGUACUGGAAAAUAGGACAGAGAUGUUCUCAGUGGCCCUGAGGCAGGAGAUAAGGGCACAG